UUACGUCUUUCUAGUGAGCCGUUGGAUUGC
rnacentral:piRNA from 1 species